AUACGGAGGGUGCAAGCGUUAUUCGGAAUCACUGGGCGUAAAGGACGCGUAGGCGGGUUGGCAAGUCAGAUGUGAAAUCCUACAGCUUAACUGUAGAACUGCAUUUGAAACUGCUAACCUAGAGUAUGGGAGGGGGAGAUGGAAUUAGUGGUGUAGGGGUAAAAUCCGUAGAUAUCACUAGGAAUACCGAAAGCGAAGGCGAUAUCCUGGAACAUAACUGACGCUAAGGCGUGAAAGCGUGGGGAGCAAACAGGAUUAGAAACCCCAGUAGUCC
rnacentral:rRNA from 1 species